rnacentral:misc_RNA from 1 species
UUUCCGUAGGUGAACCUGCGGAAGGAUCAUUCAUAAUAAGUGUUUUAUGGCACUUUUUAAAAAUCCAUAUCCACCUUGUGUGCAAUGUUAGAUCUCGUCAAUCUUGGCGAGAUUUUUAUACAUCAACUCAUUUUUUAACUAAUUUGUCUGAAAAAUAUUAUGAAUACUUAAUUCAAAAUACAACUUUCAACAACGGAUCUCUUGGCUCUC